rnacentral:rRNA from 1 species
GAUGAACGCUGGCGGCGUGCCUAAUACAUGCAAGUCGAGCGAACGGACGAGAAGCUUGCUUCUCUGAUGUUAGCGGCGGACGGGUGAGUAACACGUGGAUAACCUACCUAUAAGACUGGGAUAACUUCGGGAAACCGGAGCUAAUACCGGAUAAUAUUUUGAACCGCAUGGUUCAAAAGUGAAAGACGGUCUUGCUGUCACUUAUAGAUGGAUCCGCGCUGCAUUAGCUAGUUGGUAAGGUAACGGCUUACCAAGGCAACGAUGCAUAGCCGACCUGAGAGGGUGAUCGGCCACACUGGAACUGAGACACGGUCCAGACUCCUACGGGAGGCAGCAGUAGGGAAUCUUCCGCAAUGGGCGAAAGCCUGACGGAGCAACGCCGCGUGAGUGAUGAAGGUCUUCGGAUCGUAAAACUCUGUUAUUAGGGAAGAACAUAUGUGUAAGUAACUGUGCACAUCUUGACGGUACCUAAUCAGAAAGCCACGGCUAACUACGUGCCAGCAGCCGCGGUAAUACGUAGGUGGCAAGCGUUAUCCGGAAUUAUUGGGCGUANAGCGCGCGUAGGCGGUUUUUUAAGUCUGAUGUGAAAGCCCACGGCUCAACCGUGGAGGGUCAUUGGAAACUGGAAAACUUGAGUGCAGAAGAGGAAAGUGGAAUUCCAUGUGUAGCGGUGAAAUGCGCAGAGAUAUGGAGGAACACCAGUGGCGAAGGCGACUUUCUGGUCUGUAACUGACGCUGAUGUGCGAAAGCGUGGGGAUCAAACAGGAUUAGAUACCCUGGUAGUCCACGCCGUAAACGAUGAGUGCUAAGUGUUAGGGGGUUUCCGCCCCUUAGUGCUGCAGCUAACGCAUUAAGCACUCCGCCUGGGGAGUACGACCGCAAGGUUGAAACUCAAAGGAAUUGACGGGGACCCGCACAAGCGGUGGAGCAUGUGGUUUAAUUCGAAGCAACGCGAAGAACCUUACCAAAUCUUGACAUCCUUUGACAACUCUAGAGAUAGAGCCUUCCCCUUCGGGGGACAAAGUGACAGGUGGUGCAUGGUUGUCGUCAGCUCGUGUCGUGAGAUGUUGGGUUAAGUCCCGCAACGAGCGCAACCCUUAAGCUUAGUUGCCAUCAUUAAGUUGGGCACUCUAAGUUGACUGCCGGUGACAAACCGGAGGAAGGUGGGGAUGACGUCAAAUCAUCAUGCCCCUUAUGAUUUGGGCUACACACGUGCUACAAUGGACAAUACAAAGGGCAGCGAAACCGCGAGGUCAAGCAAAUCCCAUAAAGUUGUUCUCAGUUCGGAUUGUAGUCUGCAACUCGACUACAUGAAGCUGGAAUCGCUAGUAAUCGUAGAUCAGCGUGCUACGGUGAAUACGUUCCCGGGUCU